CCUACGGGAGGCAGCAGUGGGGAAUAUUGGGCAAUGGGCGCAAGCCUGACCCAGCAACGCCGCGUGAAGGAAGAAGGCUUUCGGGUUGUAAACUUCUUUUCUGAGGGACGAAGAAAGUGACGGUCCCUCAGUAAUAAGUAACGGCUAACUACGUGCCAGCAGCCGCCGUAAUACGUAGGUGGCAAGCGUUAUUCGGAUUUAUUGGGUGUAAAGGGCGUGUAGGCGGGAAAGCAAGUCAGUUGUGAAAACUCAGGGCUGAACCCUGGGCCUGCAAUUGAAACUGUUUUUCUGGAGUGCGGGAGAGGCAAUCGGAAUUCCGUGUGUAGCGGUGAAAUGCGUAGAUAUACGGAGGAACACUAGUGGCGAAGGCGGAUUGCUGGACAGUAACUGACGCUGAGGCGCGAAAGCGUGGGGAGCAAACAGGAUUAGAUACCCCUGUAGUC
rnacentral:rRNA from 1 species